ACAUGAAGUGGCGAACGGGUGAGUAACACGUGACCGACCUGCCCCCCGCCCCACGGGACAGCCCCCCGAAACGGGGGAGUUAAUACCUGGUACUCCGGGAGCGGCGCAUGCCGCAUCCGGGAAAGCUCUCGCGGCGGGGGAUGGGGUCGCGGCCCAUCAGGUAGACGGCGGGGCAGAGGCCCACCGUGCCGACGACGGGUAGCCGGGUUGAGAGACCGACCGGCCACAUUGGGACUGAGAUACGGCCCAGACUCCUACGGGAGGCAGCAUG
rnacentral:rRNA from 1 species